rnacentral:rRNA from 1 species
UGGGGAAUAUUGGACAAUGGGCGAAAGCCUGAUCCAGCCAUGCCGCGUGUGUGAAGAAGGUCUUCGGAUUGUAAAGCACUUUAAGUUGGGAGGAAGGGCAGUAAGCGAAUACCUUGCUGUUUUGACGUUACCGACAGAAUAAACACCGGCUAACUCUGUGCCAGCAGCCGCGGUAAUACAGAGGGUGCAUGCGUUAAUCGGAAUUACUGGGCGUAAAGCGCGCGUAGGUGGUUCGUUAAGUUGAAUGUGAAAGCCCCGGGCUCAACCUGGGAACUGCAUCCAAAACUGGCGGGCUAGAGUAGGGCAGAGGGUGGUGGAAUUUCCUGUGUAGCGGUGAAAUGCGUAGAUAUAGGAAGGAACACCAGUGGCGAAGGCGACCACCUGAGCUCAUACUGACACUGAGGUGCGAAAGCGUGGGGAGCAAACAGG